CUAGAAAGGGUGUAUUCGGUCCAACUGGACUGAGAACCGGUCGGUCCUACGGAACGCAGUAGGAUUUCGCAAUGGCGAAGCCUGAUCGAGCAGGCCGCGUGAGCGAUGACGUCUUCGGUUCGUAAAGCUUCUGUUGUUAGAGAAAGAUCAAGUACGAGAGUAACUGCUCGUAACUUGACGGUACUAACCAGAAAGUCACGGCUAACUACGUGGCAGCAGCCGCGGUAAUACGUAGGUGGCAAGCGUUAUCCGGAAUUAUUGGGCGUAAAGCGCGCGCAGGCGGUCUCUUAAGUCUGAUGUGAAAGCCCACGGCUCAACCCGUGGAGGGUCAUUGGAAACUGGGAGACUUGAGUGCAGGAGAGAAAAGUGGAAUUUCCACGUGUAGCGGUGAAAUGCGUAGAGAUGUGGAGGAACACCAGUGGCGAAGGCGGCUUUUUGGCCUGUAACUGACGCUGAGGCGCGAAAGCGUGGGGAGCAAACAGGAUUAGAUACCCUGGUAGUCCACGCCGUAAACGAUGAGUGCUAGGUGUUGGGGGGUUCCACCCUCAGUGCUGAAGUUAACACAUUAAGCACUCCGCCUGGGGAGUACGACCGCAAGGUUGAAACUCAAAGGAAUUGACGGGGGCCCGCACAAGCAGUGGAGCAUGUGGUUUAAUUCGAAGCAACGCGAAGAACCUUACCAGGUCUUGACAUCCUUUGACCACUCUAGAGAUAGAGCUUUCCCCUUCGGGGGACAAAGUGACAGGUGGUGCAUGGUUGUCGUCAGCUCGUGUCGUGAGAUGUUGGGUUAAGUCCCGCAACGAGCGCAACCCUUGACCUUAGUUGCCAGCAUUCAGUUGGGCACUCUAAGGUGACUGCCGGUGACAAACCGGAGGAAGGUGGGGAUGACGUCAAAUCAUCAUGCCCCUUAUGACCUGGGCUACACACGUGCUACAAUGGAUGAUACAAAGGGUUGCAAAGCCGCGAGGCCAAGCCAAUCCCAAAAAGUCAUUCUCAGUUCGGAUUGUAGGCUGCAACUCGCCUACAUGAAGCCGGAAUUGCUAGUAAUCGCGGAUCAGCAUGCCGCGGUGAAUACGUUCCCGGGCCUUGUACACACCGCCCGUCACACCACGAGAGUUUGUAACACCCGAAGUCGGUGGGGUAACCCUUUUGGGAGCCAGCCGCCGAAGGUGGGACAGAUGAUUGGGGGAAGUCGAGCAAGAGCCAGGACGGG
rnacentral:rRNA from 1 species